rnacentral:rRNA from 1 species
CCUACGGGAGGCAGCAGUGAGGAAUAUUGGUCAAUGGACGCUAGUCUGAACCAGCCAUGCCGCGUGAAGGAUGACGGCUCUAUGAGUUGUAAACUUCUUUUAUACGAGGGUAAACGCAGGUACGCGUAUCUGUCUGAAAGUAUCGUACGAAUAAGGAUCGGCUAACUCCGUGCCAGCAGCCGCGGUAAUACGGAGGAUUCAAGCGUUAUCCGGAUUUAUUGGGUUUAAAGGGUGCGUAGGCGGUCGGAUAAGUUAGAGGUGAAAGCCCGAGGCUCAACCGCGGAAUUGCCUCUGAUACUGGUCGGCUAGAGAGUAGUUGCGGUAGGCGGAAUGUGUGGUGUAGCGGUGAAAUGCUUAGAGAUCAUACAGAACUCCGAUUGCGAAGGCAGCUUACCAGGCUAUUUCUGACGUUGAUGCACGAAAGCGUGGGGAGCAAACAGGAUUAGAUACCCUUGUAGUC